rnacentral:rRNA from 1 species
UACGUAGGGUGCAAGCGUUAAUCGGAAUUACUGGGCGUAAAGCGUGCGCAGGCGGUUUUGUAAGUCUGUCGUGAAAUCCUCGGCUCAACCUGAGAAUUGCGAUGGAGACUGCAAGGCUAGAAUCUGGCAGAGGGGGGUAGGAAUUCCACGUGUAGCAGUGAAAUGCGUAGAGAUGUGGAGGAACACCGAUGGCGAAGGCAGCCCCUGGGUCAAGAUUGAACGCUCAUGCACGAAAGCGUGGGGGAGCAAACAGG